rnacentral:rRNA from 1 species
UACGAAGGUCCCAAGCGUUAUCCGGAUUUAUUGGGUUUAAAGGGUGCGUAGGCGGUCUAUUAAGUCAGUGGUGAAAGCCCCAAGCUCAACUUGGGAACUGCCAUUGAUACUGAUGGACUUGAGUACAUUUGAGGUGGGUGGAAUGUGUCAUGUAGCGGUGAAAUGCUUAGAUAUGACACAGAACACCGAUUGCGAAGGCAGCUCACUAAACUGUAACUGACGCUGAGGCACGAAAGCGUGGGGAGCAAACAGG